rnacentral:rRNA from 1 species
AGAGUUUGAUCAUGGCUCAGAUUGAACGUUGGCGGCAGGCCUAAUACAUGCAAGUCGAGCGGAAACGAUGGGAGCUUGCUCUCAGGCGUCGAGCGGCGGACGGGUGAGUAACGCGUAGGAAUCUACCCAGUAGCGGGGGAUAGCCCGAGGAAACUCGGAUUAAUACCGCAUACGCCCCACGGGGGAAAGGCCGGGAUCUUCGGACCGGUCACUACUGGAGGAGCCUGCGUAGGAUUAGCUUGUUGGUGAGGUAAAGGCUCACCAAGGCUACGAUCCUUAGCUGGUCUGAGAGGACGAUCAGCCACACUGGAACUGAGACACGGUCCAGACUCCUACGGNAGNCAGCAGUAGGGAAUAUUGUGCAAUGGGCGAAANCCUGACACAGCCAUGCCGCGUGUGUGAAGAAGGCCCUAGGGUUG